GACGAACGCUGGCGGCGUGCUUAACACAUGCAAGUCGAACGGUAAGGCCCUUCGGGGUACACGAGUGGCGAACGGGUGAGUAACACGUGGGUGAUCUGCCCUGCACUUCGGGAUAAGCCUGGGAAACUGGGUCUAAUACCGGAUAGGACCACUGCCUGCAUGGGUGGUGGUGGAAAGCUUUUGCGGUGUGGGAUGGGCCCGCGGCCUAUCAGCUUGUUGGUGGGGUGAUGGCCUACCAAGGCGACGACGGGCAGCCGGCCUGAGGGGGUGACCGGCCACACUGGGACUGGGAUACGGCCCAGACUGCUACGGGAGGCAGCAGUGGGGAAUAUUGCACAAUGGGCGCAAGCCUGAUGCAGCGACGCCGCGUGAGGGAUGACGGCCUUCGGGUUGUAAACCUCUUUCAGCACCGACGAAGCGCAGGUGACGGUAGGUGCAGAAGAAGGACCGGCCAACUACGUGCCAGCAGCCGCCGUAA
rnacentral:rRNA from 1 species